rnacentral:lncRNA from 10 species
AUGAACUUUGCCCUAUUCUUCCUGCUCAUUACAUCUAAAAACCUUGGGCAUUGUACAUACAACAAACAUAGGAAGACUGAAGGGCAAAGAGAAGGUAGGAGGCCAUCUGGCUUCCUCAAGACCCACAGAAAGCCAGGAGAUGAGUUCCCAGGAUUCCUCCAUGCCCCCGCAUACAUCCUAGAUGUAGAGCCAAAGGAGAUGGCAACCCAGAAAUACCAAUGGCUACAGAUCCAGCAAACCCCAAUACAAUCUUGCUCUCUCUAGGCAAAGGAUCAGCAAAGGGGCAGUCUAGCAAGACAAGACACAUAUACGAUCAUCAGUUUCCUCAGGUCAAGCACCGUGGAAGAAAAGCUGUGGCUGCAUCAACAUAAAAGCUAGCAAAAUCCCAGUGAGGGGCUUCGGGUUUCACACUUGCGCAGGUAUAAUGACAUAUGCUAAACCCCCACCUUGCCCCGGGGGUUCUUUAGGUUCCAGCAUUUUAUUUAUCAUGAGACACACAAUGACUAAAAUGCUGGAAACUAAAGACAGAGAAAAUACCUCAAAAGCAACAGAGAAAGACGACAUCUUACCUAGAGGGGAAAAACAAUUUCAAUGACAGAUGUUAGAGGAGGAAGCUGGGGCUGUCAUCAUCAUCCCUGCCAGGUGAUAAUAUGUUUACCUCCCUGUCAAUAGAAACUACAUUUGGAGCCUAGACUUCAUUAGAUGGUCAUGAGGCACCUCUCCCUCUGUCUGCUAGGCUGGUAUCAGAGGAGUCCUGGUGGAGAGUCAGGACUUUCAUCCACCCAGCAGUAAUAAGGCUGCCCUUGUCCUGUGGUGUCACUGGAGGCCACGUGGAAAGCAGUAAUGAAGCACUCCUACCCACCCAGCCAGGGAUGUAGCAGUGGAGGAGGAGUGGGCUGCUGGAACUCCCUCUCCUACCUUAGCAGCUCCUCCACUCAGGGUGUCAACAGAGGUCAGUCAGAUGAGAAACCUGGAUUUUUACACACACCUGGCUACAAUGAGAUGGCACCACUCUUCUUCCCCUGCAGAAACAGACUCAAAAAAAGGUAGUUAAAACAGAAGGUUUCAAUAAAAUCGAAACUCUGAUAACAUAACACCCAAAAGUCCAAGUUUCAAUUGAAAAUCAUUCAUCAUACCAAGAACUAGGAAAAUCUCAUACUGAAUGAAAAUAGACAGCAAAUACACGCUGGCAAUGAGAUGAGAGAGGUGUUGGGAUUGUCUGACAAAGAGUUUAAAGCAGGCAAGCCUAAUGAAAUGAUUUAAUGAGUACUUAUAAGAACACUUGAAACAAAUGGACAAGUAGAAAGACUCAGCAAAUAAAUACAAGACAUAAAUAAGAACCAAAUGGAAGUAUUAGAAGUGAAAAAUGCAACUAAAAUAAAAAGUCCAGCAGAUAGGCUCAGCAGCAGAAUGGAUGGUGUGGAGCAAACAAAUUCAUAUACUGCAGAUGAGAAAAACAGAAAUUACAGAAUCCUAACAGGGAGAAAAUAGACUGGGGGGGAAAGUGAACAGAACCUCAGGGACCUGUGAAACUACCUCAAAAGUUCUCACUUUCAUGUUGUUAUCAGUGUCUGGAAGGGGAAGAGGAAGAAGACAAGGCUGAAAACAUACUCAAAGAAGUAAAUGGCCGAAAGCUUCCCAGAGUUGGCAAAAGACAUA